AAUCCGGAGGUGGAAGUGAAAUCUUGGCUUUGCAACUUCUAUGAAAGGGUUUUUCUGAUUUAGAUCAUAACCAAGAGAAAGAAACAUGGAAGAGUGGAUUUUCAGCAGAGAAUGGAAAGGAGAAGGAGGGACAGCACAGAGCCAGGACCUGUUUCAUCUCUUCCACGUUUGUUUUUCUAAACAAUAGCAACCAUCACUGGAACAACAAAUCCUCUCCUGGUACUGAGCUGUGCCCAGGUUGAUGUUUACCACAAACAAUGGCAUUAAACUUCCUGGAAAUCCUGAAAGUGGUGUUUCAGAGGAUGUGGUUCCCAAGAGCCACCAAAGGACUGAGACCUUCCAGGAGGACUUGGAACAACUGCUAGGCAAUGUGGACAUGUUGCCUGGCAGAGCUGCCAGGAGCUUAUCCUGGGUACUGGCUGAAACAUAGGGCCUGAGGGUGAGAUAAGGAAUAUUCUGCAGGUGGUAGGAAUGCUGGCUUAGGUAAGUUACCUGCCUAGGUAAGUUGCCUUUGUUCCUAUUGCUGCAAUUUCUCUGUACAAAAGGUGCCUCAUUUGUGUUCUGCUUACAAACCUUGCCUGGGAAACUGGUGUUUGUUUAGGUAAAAAAAUGCAGAAUUUAUUUCUGCUUUUUGAGCACAGACUUGAGGUGCUUUGGGUCUGAUUUUGAAAGGUGCUGAGACACCACCGGUCCCUGCUAAUGCUUGUAAGCAGUGGGUGCUGAGACGCUCAAGAGGUGAUGGUUGUGUGAGCUCUUACCUCUAAUGAACGCUUUCCAGUUACAGGAUGGCCUAGAAGUUAUUUUUAGAAUUCAAGAACCUUUCAGAGCUUCAGCAGGUAUAUAGGGCCUACCUAGUUUCCUUCUUUUUAGCAGGAUUUAGAUUUGGCACUUGAUUUGUUCAUCUGUUAGUGUGGUCUCAUAUAGGCGUUCUUCAGUAUUUUCUCAGUGUGAACCACCCCACCAGACAAAAAUGUGCAAGCCACUUCCUCCCACAGAAGUUGUUUGUGUGGAAAAGGAACAUUAGGAAAGUAUUUAAGGUAUUUUUAGCUGCCUUUUAGUGGAAACAAGGAGAACUGUGGUCUAGCACUAUAUGAUGCUGGGAGCUGAUGUAUAGCCCUGCAUCUGCAAGUGGGCGGGGAUGGCCAAGACCCUUGGCCAUGUCUCAUCCCCCAAACUCCCUGGCAGAGCCUUUCCAAGUGCUGAGGCAGCUCAGCAGGGAGGUGUGAGCAUACUGCAGCUUCCCAGGGAAUGGCUCCUGUCCCAUCCCAGCCUCCCUGAGGUGCCACC
rnacentral:lncRNA from 1 species